CAUUCUUUUAGAUUGAGAGCGGUUAGUGGCGGACUGGUGAGUAACACGUAAGCAACCUGCCUAUCAGAGGGGAAUAACAGUGAGAAAUCAUUGCUAAUACCGCAUAAGCUAGUAGUAUCGCAUGAUAUAGCUAGAAAAGGAGCAAUCCGCUGAUAGAUGGGCUUGCGUCUGAUUAGCUAGUUGGUGGGGUAACGGCCUACCAAGGCGACGAUCAGUAGCCGGACUGAGAGGUUGAACGGCCACAUUGGGACUGAGAUACGGCCCAGACUCCUACGGGAGGCAGCAGUCGGGAAUAUUGCGCAAUGGAGGAAACUCUGACGCAGUGACGCCGCGUAUAGGAAGAAGGUUUUCGGAUUGUAAACUAUUGUCGUGAGGGAAGAAAUUGACAGUACCUCAGGAGGAAGCUCCGGCUAACUAUGUGCCAGCAGCCGCGGUAAUACAUAGGGAGCAAGCGUUAUCCGGAUUUAUUGGGUGUAAAGGGUGCGUAGACGGGAAAUUAAGUUAGUUGUGAAAUCCCUCGGCUUAACUGAGGAACUGCAACUAAAACUGAUUUUCUUGAGUACUGGAGAGGAAAGUGGAAUUCCUAGUGUAGCGGUGAAAUGCGUAGAUAUUAGGAGGAACACCAGUGGCGAAGGCGACUUUCUGGACAGUAACUGACGUUGAGGCACGAAAGUGUGGGGAGCAAACAGGAUUAGAUACCCUGGUAGUCCACACAGUAAACGAUGAAUACU
rnacentral:rRNA from 1 species